UACGAAGGGUGCAAGCGUUACUCGGAAUUACUGGGCGUAAAGCGUGCGUAGGUGGUUUGUUAAGUCUGUUGUGAAAGCCCCGGGCUCAACCUGGGAAUGGCAAUGGAUACUGGCAAGCUAGAGUGCGGUAGAGGGUAGUGGAAUUCCCGGUGUAGCGGUGAAAUGCGUAGAGAUCGGGAGGAACACCAGUGGCGAAGGCGGCUACCUGGGCCAAUACUGACACUGAGGUGCGAAAGCGUGGGGAGCAAACAGG
rnacentral:rRNA from 1 species